AUUGAACGCUGGCGGCAGGCCUAACACAUGCAAGUCGAACGGAGUGGCGGACGGGUGAGUAAUGUCUGGGAAAAUGCCCGAUGGAGGGGGAUAACUACUGGAAACGGGCGCUAAUACCGCAUACUAUCAGAUGAGCCUAGGUAGGAUUAGCUAGUUGGGGGGGUAAAGGCCUACCCAGGCGACGAUCCGUAACUGGUCUGAGAGGAUUAUCAGGCACACUGGAACUGAGACACCGGCCCGACUCCUACGGGAGGGCGCAGUGGGGAAUUGUUGACAAUGGGCGAAAGCCUUGUCCAACCAUGCCGCGUGUUUGAAGGAGGGCUUCGGAUUGGAAAGCACUUUAAGUUGGGAGGCGUUACCCACAGAAUAAGCCCCCGCUAACCUCGUGCCAGCAGCCGCGGUAAUACC
rnacentral:rRNA from 1 species